rnacentral:lncRNA from 11 species
CAGGGGUGGCCUUGUUUCCAGAAAGCGCCACUUUCUCCUGACGUUUCAACCCACAUCUGUGGGCAGGCGUUGUGAGGUGUGUUGAGAACGAGGCAAAGUGGGUUUUGUAUAUCUAUGGAAUAAUGUCCAGGGUGGGAGAAAGAAUUCUGUCUCUUUGACAGAAGAGAAUGAUUCUGGGACAUGAGGGUGCCCUGCCAUGGAUGUGGGUGAAACGUCAGGAAAGAAUGCUUCUGGGACAUGAGAGUGCCUGCCAUGGAUGUGGGUGAAAAACAUCAGGAGAGAAUGCUUCUGGGACAUGAGGGUGCCUGCCAUGGAUGUGGGCGAAACAUCAGGAGAGAAUGCUUCUGGGACAUGAGGGUGCCUGCCAUAGAUGUGGGCAAAACAUCAGGAGAGAAUGCUUCUCAAACAUGGCCAGACAGCCCAGAAAACUCACAACAACCUACUGAUUCUGGGCAUGAAAGCCUUCGACAACACAAUAAUAAUAAUAAUAAUAAUAAUUACUUCCGUAGGUUCUAUGCAGAGGAGCGACAGGAGAUCAGCAGGCUUUCUUUUCAUAUAUAUAUAUAUUUCUUUUGUUAUUGUUGUCGUUGUUGUUUAAAAAGAAAAAAAAAAAAGAAACAGGUUAAACACAUUAGUCUCAGAUGCACUUUUUGA